rnacentral:lncRNA from 1 species
UUGUGGGACAAGUAGGUGGUCAGUUGUGGGCUAGUAGGUGGUCAGUUGUGGGCUAGUAGGUGGUCAGUUGUGGGCUAGUAGGUGGUCAGUUGUGGGCUAGUAGGUGGUCAGUUGUGGGACAAGUAGGUGGUCAGUUGUGGGCUAGUAGGUGGUCAGUUGUGGGACAGGUAGGUGGUCAGUUGUGGGCUAAUAGGUGGUCAGUUGUGGGACAAGUAGGUGGUCAGUUGUGGGCUAGUAGGUGGUCAGUUGUGGGACAAGUAGGUGGUCAGUUGUGGGCUAGUAGGUGGU